UGAAGGUGGUGUAAACCUGACGGUGCAGCAGCGAAUGCCAGCGCUCCUGACAGCACACGUGAUGAUGAUCGUACAGGAAGUCGUACUUCACCUGAGGAGCACAGAUAAGAGAAUGUUAUUAGAUGGAAAAAUCAGCGUAAAGUUCUUCAGAAGUGUUCUGCAGCUGUGAAGGACACGAGGCUCACCUCUAGCUGUUGCACGAAGAGCAUCGGUGAUCCGACCAUGACAGCAGCGAUCCACACCAGCCCUGCACAGACGUAUAUAAAUCAGAUCAUUACUGGGUUCUGUCCCAUGAGCCUGUGCUGUUAAUGAUGAACAG